UACGUAGGGGGCUAGCGUUGUCCGGAAUCAUUGGGCGUAAAGCGAACGUAGGCGGUGUUCCAUGUCAGAGGUGAAAGCCUGGGGCUCAACUCCAGAAUUGCCUUUGAAACGGGGACGCUUGAGUCCGAGAGAGGGUGGCGGAAUUCCUAGUGUAGAGGUGAAAUUCGUAGAUAUUAGGAAGAACACCAGUGGCGAAGGCGGCCACCUGGCUCGGUACUGACGCUCAGGUUCGAAAGCGUGGGGAGCAAACAGG
rnacentral:rRNA from 1 species